UAGAGCUGGCAACGAUGGCACUGCCCGGG
rnacentral:sRNA from 1 species